rnacentral:lncRNA from 1 species
UGAGUUCCAGGAUAGCCAGAGCUACACAGAGAAACCCUGUCUCGAAAAAACAAAAGAAUACAAAGAGUUCGAAUGGGGUGGAGAGAUGAUUCAGCGGUUAAGAGCGCCGACUGCUCUUCCAGUGGUCCUGAGUUCACCUCCCAGCAACCACAUGGUGGCUCAAGGAAGAUGUUUAGACUUAGACUUUGACUUGUGUACUUUUGGGUUUGAGUUCUUCUACAUUUCUUUCAUGCUUGUGUGCCAGCUCCUUUAAGUUCCUGAUUUGUUUUCCACCAUUGCAAACUAAAGACAUCUAAUUGCAGGAUUAUUGGGACUAAAUAAGAAGGUAUGUGUGAAGAAUGGAUUUAGCACACUCGUAUUACAUUAGAGACUGGGGAGUGAGUACCAUCUGACCAUCUCUCCCUCUCCACAGUCACACAGUCAGCUCUUCAGAAGCAUGGAUCAGGAGCAAUAAGGAGUAUGCCAGAGACCCAGCAGUGUUAAAUUUUUAAGACUUUGUAAUAUAAAAUUAUAUUGUGAAUAUUUCCUAUCUUUAUCCUUUAGUAAUUUCUGUUGUUGUUAGCAGUCCUUAGGAAACCUAAAAUGGUUAAGAGGAGAAGAAAAAGGACUAGGACCAUAUGUUGAUUUCAAUUUGGAUUGAGUAAAAUUAGUUCCUGGUGGUAGUUAACUAAAAUAAUCUAACAGUGCAAUCUAGCAGAAUGUCUCAGUGAUGCCAUUGCAGAAUGUGAAGCAUGAAUCUGUUGGGGCUUGCCUGCGGCUCUCAUGUUCGGGUUCGAGCCUGGGAGGCAGCCUGGAGCUGAAAAAGAAGAGGGAAACUAGGCUGAGAGAGAGAGAUGGAACCAAGACAGGAAUCUGAUCAAGGCUCAAAUUUUUAAUGGUGGACAAGCUUUAUAAAGGAGAGGGGAAGCCCAUUCCCGCCAAAUCGUCCUUGGAGCCCAGCUGCAGGUGACCACGUGCAGACUCCGGAACAGCUAGGCCGACUCCCAGCAGGUCGCAGCUGUGUCAGUGGCAGAACAAUAGAGUGAUCCAGGGAGGCAGCUCCACCCUAGCUGAUCUCCUUAGUGGCAACAAAAUCUGGCUCAGCCUGCUUCAGGCUUGUUGGAGGCUACAUGAAUCCUUGCUGUUGAGUUCAAGUGUAUUAGGUUUGGUGGUCCAGCAGUAGAGUUUAGAACUGCCUCAGGAGUGCCAUGGGAAACCUAGAAGUCUACUUCUAAACAUUAGAGCAAUAGUUACUGCAUAAGAUGGCAAAAGAUAUGGCAAAAGCUGUUUACAGACAGGUGAAUGUGCGUCAAUAACUGAAUAACUGAAAAGUCAGAGAGAAUAUAGGAAGGCUGAAAUGAUAGGGUUAGUUGCCAAAGUCAGCUGUGGCAAGUAGAACUGCAGGAUUCGAUUACAGCAGAAAUUAAACACCAAUAAAAACUUGCAGCUAUAUAUUUUAGUUUAGAGAAACAGUGAUACUUGCUAACACUUAGUACUGAAAGACCCACAACGUGAGGACUCCCCCACGUUCUGACUCAGGAGAGGCGACACCCCAAAUCACUCACAAGAAACAGUCUUGCCACAAACUGCAAGAGGACUUUUAUUCAAGAACGCCCUCGGGGCCACGGUCAUACACCACACAGGGGUAGAGGACCGUGGCGCCCCGAGUAGCUGGGUAAGGAGGUAUUUAAAGGAAGAAACCACAACUCAAGGAAGUGGGGAGGGCGUUGUUGGGAAAUACCAAAGAUACCAGUUAAGAGUCCCAAGGAAGUGCAAAGUCAAAAAAGUCACAAGGAAUACCUGGUAAUUGUUUGGGUUAUCUCUCAAGACAGUUUCUAAGAGCCCCUAACUAUAGCACAUUCUUUGAAUGAACACUCUUUGAACCCAGGAAGCGGGUGGGUGGAGGAAUGUGGCUAUCUGUUUUAUGAUUAACAUACCUUGGAGCAUUGAGACACAGAGGUCACAUUCCAAGCCUGGGCCUAAAUGCCUAGAAUUUUGUUUUUACGUUAUACUUUCAGUACAUUUUAAAGUGAAUGGAUGUUUAUGCAUUGUAUUGUAGUGCUACUUAGAUUUCAAUAAUAAAAGUGACCUAACAUUUCCCUUCAUAAAAAUAAUUUACAUGAAGAUACAUCAGACCACCCCCCCCC